UGCGUGUUUUAUUUUUGACUAACGUCUAGGUAGACCUAACCUCAAUCGGAACGACUUAAACUUACCUCAAUCAACUGUUUUAUUCUCAUAAUAGUUAAUACAGUACUAAGUUAAAAAACUUUAAAAUUUCAUUAUAAGUAAUAGCGUUCUUAAAAGUGGUUGGUGCAAAUUCAUUACAAGAAAUGGGUGACUCUAAGGGAAAAGGAGAUGGUAGUGGUGGGUUGAAACGUAAUACAGGUGGCAGUUCAUUAAAAAAAAAUAGAUUCAUAUUUCAUAAAGAAACCAAGGCUUGAGAUUGCUCAGUCGAAAAAUUUACCUACAACUACUACCCAUGCUUCUGCUUCUACAGCUACAUUGCCUACAUUUACCUUAGAUGAAGAAAAAUCAUGUUCUUCCGUUAUUAACGAUAUUCAGCCUAUAUUAUCUACGUCGACUUCAGAUUCUGAUCAGAUAAAGACUUCAGUUUCUCAAUCAGAAUUUGCUUCUGAUAUUGCAUGUUAUACAGGGAACAAUAUAGAUGAUUCAUCUAAAGCUAUGUUGCUUGAAAAGCAUUGGCAGCCUCCCCCUAAUUACACUUUCCCGCACUGUGUUGUUAAUAAAAAAGGGAAACAAACAAAAAAAUAUGCUCAGAAGUCCCACCUUGACAAGUUUCACUGGCUUGUUUUGUCGCAUAAAGGCCAGGGUCUUUACUGCAAGUACUGUGCUUUGUUUGCCAUAGCUCCUGGAGGUGGUAUACAGACAAAAACACCUUUAUGUCGACUCGUAAAAGAGCCCUUAAAAGCUUUUGAUAAUUUGCUUGGUGAAAAUGGUGUUCUGUUGACACACCAGCGAAACAAAUACCACGAAUUAGCUGUCGAAGCAGGGAAGAACUUUUUGUUGACUUUUCACAAACCAGAAAUUAAUAUAAUGAACCAAGUAAGUAGUCAAAGACUGACACAAAUAAAUGAAAAUAGAGAACGUUUGCGACCAAUCGUAAAAACUAUAAUAUUUUGUGGUCGUCAAAAUAUAUCGUUACGUGGCCAUCGCGACGAUGGUAAAUUGUUGAGCUAUGACAGCGUGGUAGCCGAUGAAGGAAAUUUUAGAGCCCUUUUAAAAUUCCGUAUAGAUUCUGGCGAUACUGCAUUGCAGCAACAUUUAGAAUCUUCAAAGUCCAACGCCACGUACAUCAGCAAGACUGUACAAAAUGAGUUGAUAGAUGUUUGCGCAGAAAUUAUUCAGGAAAAUAUUUUACAGAAUAUACGGGAAGCUAAAUUUUUUUCAAUUUUGUUCGAUGAAACAACAGAUAUAUCACAUAUCUCACAUCUGAGCCUAUCAUUUCGAUAUUUUCAUAAUGGUAUUAUAAAGGAACAUUUUGUAACUUUCUGUGAUACUUACGAUGCUCUUCGACGUGAAGAAAACAAUUCAGGUGAUAUAGAGCCUCGAUUGACAGGUGUAUCAUUGGCGAAAAUCGUUGCAAAUCUGUGUACCAAAUUUAACGUAGAUAUAACUUGGUGUGUGGGUAUUGGAACUGACAGCUGCUCGGUUAUGGCAUCAGAAACGAAAGGUGCAGUGCAAGAAUUGACUAAAAUAGCCAUUCACGCCAAACGAUGCCCGUGCAACAACCAUGUACUUAAUAACUCGUUGGCUAGAUCAUCCAAAGUAGUUUCUUGUCGCAAUACAUCUGGCACAAUGAGAAAAGUUGGAGCAUUUGCCAAUGCAUCCGCUAAGAGGCAUGAAAUUUUUAAAAAAGAACUUGGAGUUGCCAUGCAAGGUAUCUGUGAGACACGUUGGGUAGAGAGGCAUGAUGGGCAUCUUCAAUUUCAAGGAGACAACUUUGUCAAAAUUUGUAGCGCUCUGGAGAAGAUUUCUACUUGGCAAGACAGUAAAACUGCUAAUGAUGCCCAUUGCUUGCUGCAAACAUUGCGCAGUUCUGACUUUAUUAUAUCCUCCAUCUGUUUAAGUGAUGUAUUAGGCGCUACUGUAUCUUUAAGCAGAAUACUGCAAUCGAACUCAAUUGAUUUAAAAAAGCUGCGGACGCUAUUAAUGAUACUAUAAGUGUUCUACAAAAUAAAAGAGAAAAUGCGGACGUUAUUUACCGACAGCUUUUUGAAGAGGCUAAAGAAGUGGCUGGGCAGCUAGAUGUAGAAAUUAAAUGUCCCAGAAUAGUGUCAAGACAAAUACAUAGGGCCAAUAACCAACCUGCCCAAUCUGCUGAAGAGUAUUUCCGCAGAGCUAUAUACAUCCCUCUUCUAGAUUCAAUAAUAAAUGACCUAGAGGACCGUAUGUCUCUUGAAGUACUUAAUUUGUUUCAGCUCAGCGUUUUCAUGCCAAAAAGCGAAUACAGUAAUCAAGACAUUGAAACUGUGAAACAACUAGCAACCGAUUAUACAUUGUUACUAGAUAAUACUCCAGUUUCUGUCGUUGUAAACGAAUAUCGACUGUGGAUGGUGAAGUGGCAGCGGAGUCAGGACAUGCCGCAGUCGAUUUCUGACCUUAUUUUAAAUUGCGAUAUUGAAAUGUAUCCUAAUAUAAGAAAAUUUUUAUGUAUUAUGGCUACACUACCUGUUAGUAUAGCGACAGCGGAAAGAUCUUUCUCUACAUUACGAAGAAUCAAAUCAUGGCUAAGAGCUGCAAUGGUUGAAGAACGUCUAACCGGACUGGCACUUCUCCACGUCCAUAAAAACAUACCCAUUGAAGCAGAUGAAGUGAUAACGCGUUUUGGGAGAAGACGUAAAAGAAAAAUUGAUUUUGUAAUUUAAAUAUAUUAUCAAAAUUAAAUUAUAACUUCUUGUGACUUGACCAUGACUAUGUGACCCCCCCCCCUGGCGCCAAACCUGGA